AACUGUCUAAAUCUAUAUCUAGAAGGUAAAAUACACUGAAUGUAUUGUGAAUAGGUGCGCAGAUAAAACAUACAUACAAACAAAUCACUCAAUCACUCUGGUCGCUUCAUUCAUCCUCUGUGCAUAGGGCAAUGAAUCAGAUAUGUCUACUUAAGUUGAACCAUCAUUUAUAAGGGACCAAAAACCCAUUCACAUGCCAAAACAAAUUGUAGAUACAAAAAGUCCCUCCUAGGUAACAUGGUAAGCGGAUUUAACUAUGACAAUUUUUU
rnacentral:lncRNA from 1 species